GGACUGGUCUUCUACUUUCUUGGAGGAAGCUUUUUCUUAUAAAUAGGCAGCAAGCAGGAAGCAAUUUAAACAAAAUGUUCCCAAAAAGAGCAGGCCCAGAGACAGCAGAUAUCUACAACAGUAAUUUUGGCACAGAUUAGCAGAGAAGGGGAGCAUAGCGAAUGCAAGAAACUAAAUGAUGGGCACGUUGGUAAAUAGAAGAUGCUGGGGGAAAAAAGUUGCUCCAGGGAGACAGAUCAAAGGACAUCUAUCCAAAGUGGCAGAAGGGUGCUACCAAGAGAAAGAUUCAACAGAAUCAGAGGAUGAAGAACGUAUUUCUUAAUGAGAUGAUUUCCUGGAAACACUUUCAGUGUGUGCCCCACCGCUGAAAGACCUGGUAACUCAUUCAAGAAUCUACAGGAAGGAAGAAACAAAUGGAGCCAAAUGAGUAUCCGAUUCCUUCUGGGGCUUUCCUUUCUCCUGAUCUGGAUGGGAACUGGAGCUUAUCAUAAAGGGAGAAAAUGAUCCAAUAAAAUAGCAGCCUGCAUUGCUGUUGGACA